CAGCAGCCGCGGGAAUACAGAGGGUGCGAGCGUUAAUCGGAUUUACUGGGCGUAAAGCGUGCGUAGGCGGCUUUUUAAGUCGGAUGUGAAAUCCCCGAGCUUAACUUGGGAAUUGCAUUCGAUACUGGGAAGCUAGAGUAUGGGAGAGGAUGGUAGAAUUCCAGGUGUAGCGGUGAAAUGCGUAGAGAUCUGGAGGAAUACCGAUGGCGAAGGCAGCCAUCUGGCCUAAUACUGACGCUGAGGUACGAAAGCAUGGGGAGCAAACAGGAUUAGAUACCCCCGUAGUCCCUGUCUCUUAUAC
rnacentral:rRNA from 1 species